UGACCGCUGGCGGUAGGCCUACCACAUGCAAGUCGACCGGCAGCACAGUAAGAGCUUGCUCUUACGGGUGGCGAGUGGCGGACGGGUGAGGAAUACAUCGGAAUCUACUUUUUCGUGGGGGAUAACGUAGGGAAACUUACGCUAAUACCGCAUACGACCUACGGGUGAAAGCAGGGGAUCUUCGGACCUUGCGCGAUUGAAUGAGCCGAUGUCGGAUUAGCUAGUUGGCGGGGUAAAGGCCCACCAAGGCGACGAUCCGUAGCCGGUCUGAGAGGAUGAUCAGCCACACUGGAACUGAGACACGGUCCAGACUCCUACGGGAGGCAGCAGUGGGGAAUAUUGGACAAUGGGCGCAAGCCUGAUCCAGCCAUACCGCGUGGGUGAAGAAGGCCUUCGGGUUGUAAAGCCCUUUUGUUGGGAAAGAAAAGCAGCAGGUUAAUACCCCGCUGUUCUGACGGUACCCAAAGAAUAAGCACCGGCUAACUUCGUG
rnacentral:rRNA from 1 species